AAGCUAACGAAAACACAACGAUUCUUAUUUUCAGAUGAUUAUUAGGGGUGUAACAAUCCUUCAAUCCGGAUCGAUGGAUAUCGAAUCCAAUAUCAUUGAUGCAAAGUGAAAACAUCGAUACAUAUCAUCAUCUUUAAGAUACGCCUUUAUUUUGAAGUUCCCAUGGCACAUCUGUUUCACCAUUUCUGUCCACCUGUCCAAGUAUUCCUAAACAUCCAAACAGUGCUAAGCUUCGGUUAUGCUAUCCGCAACAAUGGCCGCACAGACAUGAGCUGACGUGGAAUCAUGACAAGGAAACUUAGUGAGCGGUGCUAGCAGCAUAACAUUAGCAAUUGUGCGGUCGGCUGAGCGAGAGAGAGAGAGACAGAGGGAGAGAGAGAGAGAGAGAGAGAGAGACAGAGAGUGAGAGAGAAAUAGAGAGAGACACAGAGAGACAGAGAGAGAGAGAGAUAGAGAGAGAGAGAGAAUGAGAGAGAAAGAGAGAAGAGAGAGAGAGAGAGAGAGAGACACAGAGUAAAGACCCCAUAUGCCGGAUUCUCAUCUGCAGGGUAUCCAGUUUCACCCUGCAGCGUCUCCCUGGGUGGUUCCUGUGAGUUCAGGCUUGAAGCCAUGAAAGACUCACUAUUGCAACCACUGAUAGGCUGAUAGACUCUGGUGCCUAAAUAAGGCACCCGUACAGUCCAUCACUACAGU